rnacentral:rRNA from 1 species
AAGCAUCCUGUUAAGUCAGGCAACGAGCGAGACCCACGCCCACAGUUGCCAGCGUACUCUCUUGGAGUGACGGGUACACUGUGGGGACCGCCGCUGCUAAAGCGGAGGAAGGAAUGGGCAACGGUAGGUCAGUAUGCCCCGAAUAUCCCGGGCUACACGCGAGCUACAAUGGUUGGUACAAUGGGUAUCUACCCCGAAAGGGGACGGGAAUCUCCUAAACCAAUCUUAGUUCGGAUUGAGGGCUGCAACUCGCCCUCAUGAAGCUGGAAUCCGUAGUAAUCGCGUUUCAACAGAACGCGGUGAAUACGUCCCUGCUCCUU